GGAGUUGUGGCUUAGUGGUAGAGCACUAGUCUAACAUGAACGAGGCCCUGGGUACAAGGCCCUGGGUUCGAUCCUCAGCACCA
rnacentral:tRNA from 1 species